rnacentral:rRNA from 1 species
GAUGAACGCUGGCGGCGUGCCUAAUACAUGCAAGUCGAGCGAACAGACGAGGAGCUUGCUCCUCUGACGUUAGCGGCGGACGGGUGAGUAACACGUGGAUAACCUACCUAUAAGACUGGGAUAACUUCGGGAAACCGGAGCUAAUACCGGAUAAUAUAUUGAACCGCAUGGUUCAAUAGUGAAAGACGGUUUUGCUGUCACUUAUAGAUGGAUCCGCGCCGCAUUAGCUAGUUGGUAAGGUAACGGCUUACCAAGGCGACGAUGCGUAGCCGACCUGAGAGGGUGAUCGGCCACACUGGAGCUGAGACACGGUCCAGAGUCCUACGGGAGGCAGCAGUAGGGAAUCUUCCGCAAUGGGCGAAAGCCUGACGGAGCAACGCCGCGUGAGUGAUGAAGGUCUUCGGAUCGUAAAACUCUGUUAUUAGUGAAGAACAAAUGUGUAAGUAACUAUGCACGUCUUGACGGUACCUAAUCAGAAAGCCACGGCUAACUACGUG